rnacentral:rRNA from 1 species
GACGAACGCUGGCGGCGUGCCUAAUACAUGCAAGUUGAGCGAUGAAGAUUGGUGCUUGCACCAAUUUGAAGAGCAGCGAACGGGUGAGUAACGCGUGGGGAAUCUGCCUUUGAGCGGGGGACAACAUUUGGAAACGAAUGCUAAUACCGCAUAACAACUUUAAACAUAAGUUUUAAGUUUGAAAGAUGCAAUUGCAUCACUCAAAGAUGAUCCCGCGUUGUAUUAGCUAGUUGGUGAGGUAAAGGCUCACCAAGGCGAUGAUACAUAGCCGACCUGAGAGGGUGAUCGGCCACAUUGGGACUGAGACACGGCCCAAACUCCUACGGGAGGCAGCAGUAGGGAAUCUUCGGCAAUGGACGAAAGUCUGACCGAGCAACGCCGCGUGAGUGAAGAAGGUUUUCGGAUCGUAAAACUCUGUUGGUAGAGAAGAACGUUGGUGAGAGUGGAAAGCUCAUAAAGUGACGGUAACUACCCAGAAAAGGACGGCUAACUACGU